CACUCCUACGGGAGGCAGCAGUGGGGAAUUUUGGACAAUGGGCGAAAGCCUGAUCCAGCCAUGCCGCGUGCAGGAUGAAGGCCUUCGGGUUGUAAACUGCUUUUGUACGGAACGAAACGGCCUUUUCUAAUAAAGAGGGCUAAUGACGGUACCGUAAGAAUAAGCACCGGCUAACUACGUGCCAGCAGCCGCGGUAAUACGUAGGGUGCAAGCGUUAAUCGGAAUUACUGGGCGUAAAGCGUGCGCAGGCGGUUAUGUAAGACAGUUGUGAAAUCCCCGGGCUCAACCUGGGAACUGCAUCUGUGACUGCAGAGCUAGAGUACGGUAGAGGGGGAUGGAAAUCCGCGUGGAGCAGUGAAAUGCGUAGAUAUGCGGAGGAACACCGAUGGCGAAGGCAAUCCCCUGGACCUGUACUGACGCUCAUGCACGAAAGCGUGGGGAGCAAACAGGAUUAGAAACCCUAGUAGUCCCAUGA
rnacentral:rRNA from 1 species